UACGUAGGGUGCGAGCGUUAAUCGGAAUUACUGGGCGUAAAGCGUGCGGCAGGCGGUCUGUUAAGACCGAUGUGAAAUCCCCGGGCUUAACCUGGGAACUGCAUUGGUGACUGGCAGCUUUGAGUGUGGCAGAGGGAGGUAGAAUUCCACGUAUAAGCAGUGAAAUGCGUAGAGAUGUGGAGGAAUACCGAUGGCGAAGGCAGCCUCCUGGGCCAACACUGACGCUCAUGCACGAAAGCGUGGGGAGCAAACAGG
rnacentral:rRNA from 1 species